CGGGGCUGCGUCACCAGGGUAAGGACGCAGACACAGUGGUUUCGAUGCUGCUCCAGGGCACUCUCAAGGGAUGCUAGCUGCCUCCUGCCUGUUCUUGGGGUGAUGUCUGUUAUCCCCCAGCACUCCAGCCUGUUUUGUCCAGCUGGUCCCUGGAGCUCGGACACGGUGGGAGGACGCAGGCCGGGCUUCUCCAGGCCUGACAAGAGGAGACAGAGACUCGCUCCAGCUGGGACUUCCUAGCCCUUGGGCCCCCAGAGCUUCGCCGUCACCAGGGAAUUUCUCCUUACGGUGUGUAUGUUUGAUUGGAAGGAGAACUGGGAAAAUUUCAACGCUGCAAAGCCACUGGGGAAGGCACUAAGGGUACUAAGCCGCCUUCUCUUUCCACUAAUGAGGCCUGGUUUCUAAAAGAAUACAAGAGAGCAUAAUUUAGCUUAUUUGGGACUUGUUAGACUGCAAAUGAAUACUUGGUGAAGUCAUCAAAAUAUAUAUUAUCCCCCUUAUCAAAUAGCUGGAGAUGGGAAUUUUCAGGGUUGACAGAAGAACUCAGCAAGUUUGGGGCUCUGGGCUGGUGUUUCUAUAAUUCUUUAGACCUUUUCUUCAUGGUUGCAAUGUGGCUGCAGCAGCACCAGGAAUCACAUUCAUUCUUGAUAUGUCUCAUAUUAGGAAGAGAAGAGGCAAAAAUGCAAGAUUCUUUUCUUUGAUCAUGGAGUUUGCUGUUACCAACCUUUCUUGGUUGUAUGCCAGAUGGUGUCACACUUCCUUUCUCAGGUCAAUCAUUGGCAAGGUGGGUUAACCAUCUUGGCUUCAACUAUUCACAAUUAGUUCACCAACUGAAACUAGAGCUAGUCUGGAUCUGUUUAUAAGGAAGAGGAGAUGAGGCAUCCUCAGUUCAGGUUAGCAAAUGCCAGACACCACACGAGGUGCAGGAAAUGGAGAGGCCCCUGGGCCUGCUCGAAGGAGCUUAAAGCUUUCUGGGCACACAGGCAGGAAACGGAAAUUUAGCGGGUCACAGGCUGUCCCAGGGUAGUACCCGGGGAGAGUAGACAGGCCGAGGGCAGCCAGGGAGGGCUGUGUGGGUGACGCUGAGUCAGGCGGCUCCUGCAGAGAGAGGCUGACACCGUGCCUGGCACUGGGGGUGGAGACAGGGGUGAUGACGGCUCUGGACAGAGGGGAAGAGCUGCGCGCCACUCAUCAUGUGUAAGGGAUCACAAGUGUAGCAGAGAGCAGAGCCUGCCAACAGAGGGCAGGGAGCUGGGCUCUGGAGUUUGGGCGCCACCCCGAGGGCCCCGAGAAGCCAUCAAGCAAGGGAGCAACUUGGGAGACACAGACAGACAGGAUGGGCAACGGCAGGAGUUCAUCUGCAUCCGGGAACCGUACCGUGCAGGCCCGGUAUGAGACCACAGGACCCCUCCUCCCGAGGCCCUCAGCCCCCUGCACGCUCUCAGAUGGGGUCUGGAGGGCAAGAGCAAGGUGCCCGCGGCACUGUGUGGUUCUAGGCCUCAGGGGCCAUAGCAGGUCUCGGUCCAGGGUGGGAGCAGAGACGGUUUCCUUCUUCUCCGAGUCACUGACCGAAGAGGAGGAAGUGCAGGAUUGGUCCACCUGCAACAUCUGCAACAUCCCAGAGACUACUCAAGGCCUGCCGAGCUGCUGCUGAGCCCUGGCGCAGGCCAUGUCGGGAGCCUCACUGCGGGACCAGGCCUUCCCACCCCAGCCGCAGCGGCUCCCCUCGGCGCUUGAAUGUAGCGUAAAAGGACACAGAGACGGGACCUCUGAGAGGAGCCAGGUGGGCUCCAGGCAGGGGCCAGGCAUCAGAGAGGAAGGGACACUGGUUACCUUCAGCAGGUGGGUGGUGCCCACCAUCUCUGCAGCCUUGGACAAUGACAGAAACGGUCAGACAAGCCAGCAACACAUGUGGCUUUCUUCUGGGUCACCAGGGAAGGAAAUGGAAAGUUGCCUUUGACCCUCUCCUUCUCAAGUGGGAACUAGGUUUCCUUGGAGGGGACUGCAGAGCCCAGACUGUGGGCAGCUGGCAGGACACCCGAGCCACCUUGUCUGGCACCACCUCCCCCUGGCCGUCUCAGCGCUCCCUGCCCCUCAGUCCUCCUUGGGCGGUGGCGGAGUGCCAGGAGCUUAUGUAGUGGUGUUCGCUGGGUUUGCUCUGCUGCCUACACUGGUGAUGCACGCAGAGUGUCCCUCACUAGACAGGGACCACAGCAGAGUAUCACUAGGAGGUUGAACUACAAAGCAUCGCCCCCCUUCCCCCUCACCCUGGAGCCAUCUGUGUGUCUUUACUACCCCAGGCACAGUGCUGCUGGGGACUUCUGUCCCCGUCCACAGGGCUCGCUUUGGGGCUGGCACUCGGCAUGCCAUGGAGCCACCGCCUGUCAGACCGGGAACCGGCCCCGUGGCUCAGCAACAGCAUGUCCAUCCCCAGCUCGGAGCAGAACAGAACCAAAGUUAAGAGAGCGACAAGUGCCACAUGCACUGGGACCCGAAUCUGUGACAGCAAUGGGACCCAUAAGGAGGACCCCACUGUCUGCUGCAUCCUGCGGAAGCACGGUGACCAAGCUGGAGACAGGUGAUGCUUAUUGCCUAGGUGGCCUGACGGCCCUCGCUGUCUCUUGCACGGGGGCAGUACACUGUCGGCUGGACACAGGUCACUCUCCUCCUCCCUGGAGUGGAGUGAGGCUACACGGGCCACCUGAGAACUGGAUGAGCUUUCCCGUCAGGAUAGGAGAGAAGGCCCCAGGUGCUCCUGGAGGCCACCAGGAGGCCUGGAUCUCACAUGCCUGUGUGUGGGCACCCUGCCAACCCAUUUCCCUGCCAGGAUUGCUUCAGCAACAAAGUCCUACUGUUUGAGCCGCAGUGUGCUUUGGGGUCUAUUCAGUACAGAACUAGCAUUACGCUACUACAAUCACUACAUGGACAUCACACACUUAUUCUACAGCUGCAGUUUUACUCGCCGAGAGAAUGUCCUGGAGCCUCAAGAUUCUGGAUUUUCAUCACCAAAAUGUUAGGCCGACAGCACUGUGAGGGAGCUGCUCAUGCUGAGUGUGCUGUGAAGGGCUCAGAGAUUCCUGGUGACCCCGGCGCCAGCUGGGCUCCAAGUCCUGGCCCCUGUGGGGUUCCCCAACUGCAUGGCCAGAGACUACAGGGUCACAAACUGGACCAGAGGCCUCACCUAGCUGCAGCCUGCUUUGGGAUAGCCCUUGAACUAAAUACUUUGCUUUUCUUAAACACCUUUAAAAACAAACGAGGACCAAGGGACAUAAAAAGAAUUAAGAUGUGUUACAUACAUGUACCAACCCCCACAGUGUCAGCAUUAAUGCCCACAAACAUGUACUGAUAAAAAUAAAAGUUAAAAAUAACUAAUUAAAAACAUGCAACACAGAUGAUACACAGCCUACAAACACUAAAAUAUGUGCUACCUGGUCCUGCCUCUGAGUUGCUGGAGGAUUACAGAGAGCCAGUGUCUGGCUCCAAGUUCACACACAGUACAAAGACAUACAAUAUAGACAUCAGCGCCUGCUGAGAGUCAUGUAGCCAAAUCCUGCACUUUGUCCAAGUGAACAUUUUCUUGUUCCUUCCUAAAAGUCAAAACAAAACAAAAAACAUGAAGAGCUACAUUUGGAUUAGUAUGGCCUCAGAUACUUUUAAAAUUAAAAACUUAUAGUCUCAUAAAAAGUCUAAUUUCUCCUAUUUGAAGCUCAGACUAAGAAAAAGAAGGCUGAAGAAGGCCUGGGCCCUGGCGGGCUGGUUCAGUUUAGUGUGUUAGGACAGAUCAAAUCAUUUCAGGGUGAGCACCAGGCUAAGCAGUAUGAAAUGUAGGGCCGAGCUGACAACAGUGCUGCAAGCUGCUGUCUCCAUCACGAUCCUGCUGUGUCAGUGCACUUGCAAAGGCCUGCGGGAUCUUAGGUGGAGAGAAAGCAGGCCUCUCAGAGUCCGAGCGAGUGCGCAGACCAUGGUCGCGAACACGGCAGUGGGGACAGCAGGUCUGAUUUUGGGCAGGCCAGCUUUGGACAUCUUCUGAGAGACAGCUCUCCAAAGUGGAUCUGCAAACAGCAGCCCUCGGGGUGCCACGCAUGUCACGGGAGGACAGUUCCAGAGCCUACUAAGGAAGUCUAGGCCCACCCUCCUCUCCCCUUGGAAAGCCAUGAGCUCGGGUGUGAAACUUGGUGGAAACAGUGCUCCAGGAAAUGGCUCGCCGGGCGGAGGCAGCCCUCAGCUCUGCCUCUGCAGCACAGGCGUGCUGGCUGGUACUCUGGACACACUGCUGGGCACAGCUGUGCGGGUCCACAGUGACAAACCACGCCUCAGACCUGGCUUUGCCUCCAGCACCCGCGGCUCUUCCAUGUAUUUCCAUAUAAUUAAAAAGGUGCCACUUCUGCAGCAACCAGCCACUGAGAUUGUUAGAACUCAUAAAGUCACUAUCUGGCAAGGAAACUGCAGUACAAAGGUACGCUGCUCACUCACUAAUGUUGAGAAAAAUUCAGUGGAACAAAUCUUUCAAACUUAGAUCAGAAGAGCAAUGAGAGAUCUUUCCCUCACUGUGGAGGGGCUUUUUGUUCUGAGACGAAACUGGGCAGGCUGUUUGCAUGGUUUCUCUGGAUAAGUUCCAUUUAUUAAUCAUUGUACAAAAAAAAAAUCUUGGCAUUCAUUUGAAGAGAAAGAAGUUACUAUAUCCAAAUAUUUUAAUAUUUUAACAUUGUGAAAGUUCUACUUUUCUAACAGGGCUUUUUCAAAUGGAGAAAACUUUUGGAAAAAUUUUUUAAAAA